GUCUUCCCGGCCGGGUGGCACUGACCGGUCAUGCUCAGGGCCCCCUUCUGGUUGCCGGUGCCUCACCUCUGGCCAGGUGGCAUCGGCUUCCGGGUAAAUCUGAGCUGCCCAAAGCGAGCCUCCGGAGGCUGCUCCAUCUCCUGGAACGUUUACUCAUUCAGGCCUCUGGACGUCGAUACUGGGGAUGAAAAGUUCAGAAAGUGGACAGGCAGGUUCUGUCUUCCCGGGGGCGGGUGGUUAUGACUCCGUUUUACAGGCCAAGAGACCCAGGCUCACGGGCAUAAUUGACACAAUCUUGAGGGGAAGUGGACUGGAAUCUAUUUGAGUAGCCGUUUCUCCUACUUCUCCACAUUGCCCUCACUAAAUUCUGGAUCAGCUAAAGGCUUUUUCCCCUUAGUUUUCUUUAUGUGUUUUUCUGUAAAGCCGAAAAUUUAGUCAUUACUCUCAUUAUUACAUUAUCCUCAUUAUUACAACUUUAUUUCCACAUAUUGACAUGUGAGUCAUUGUCACCUCCUAGCUGUUUUUUGUUGUUGUUGUUGUUUUCUGAGACGGAGUCUCGCUCUGUCGCCCAGGCUGGAGUGCAGUGGCACGAUCUCGGCUCACUGCAACCUCCGCUUCCCGGGUUCAAGCAAUUUUCCUGUCUCAGCCUCCUGAGUAGCUGGGACUACAGGCGCUCACCACCAUGCCCAGCUAAUUUUUGUAUUUUUAGUAGAGAUGGGGUUUCACCAUAUUGGUAAGGCUGGUCUUGAACUCCUGACCUCAGAUGAUCCGCCUGCCUUGGCCUCCCAAAGUAUUGGGAUUAUAGGCGUGAGCCACCGCCCCUGGCCUGUUUCUUUUCUAGGUUAAAAGGAUACUCACUUAUCUAAGUUGAGAUUGGGGGAAAUAAUCACCUUUUGUGUCCUUGAUUGUAGCUUAGGAAUAUUUCUUAGUUGUUUUAGAGCAUUUCUCAAGUGUGAUCCAUGGGGCCACCUGCAUAUAUGCAUUUAUGAGCUGGGAUGCUUGUUAAAAUGCAGAUUCCUGGUCUUCAGUCCAGACCUACUGAGUUAAAAUAUUGAGGAGAGAUGGAGCUCAACAGAUGCCCUAGGUGACUCUGAUGUGGCCUAAGUCUGGGGAAACAGUACACCCUGCAGUACUUCUCCAACCUAACAGAAAUGCGGAUUCUGAUUCGAAAUGGAGUCUGCCACAACGGAACCUAAAAUGUGACAUGUGCUCAGCGGACAAGGGGGAAGGUCAAUAUUAAGGAUUCAAAUAUUGUAGCUGGAAUUUAAAAUAUGGCUGCACAGUUCUUGACAUGCCCUCCAUCCAGAGAUGGGUUCAUUGUCCCCUCCCCUUGAAUCUGGACUGGCUUGUGACUACUUCUGCCAAUAGAUUUCCAUGGAAGUGGAGCUACGUAACUUCUGAGGCUAAGUCAUAAUGGGCCAUGCUGCUGCCACUGUAACAGACACUCUUGGAACCCUGAGUGCCAUUUAAGAAGACUGACCAUCCUGAGUCCAUCAUGCUGGGGUCACCAAGGUGCUCUGAUUGACACUCCUAGCUGGGAUUGCCUUUCAUCUUUCACAGACUUCCCAGCCCAGGCACCAGACACAGGAGUGAAAGAGUCGUUGGACGAGGGCCCUUCAGCCCAGGCUGUUCCCAGAUCCCAACCACUGGAGUCCUCACCAGCAGUUCAGAUCAUCUGACCUGUGGCCCCAAACAUGGAGCAGUUAUGCCCUUUUCAAAUUCCUGACCCACAGAAUCUGUGAGCAUAAUAAAAUGGUGGUUAAUUUAUGCCAUUAUACAUUGAGGGCUUUUGAUGCUCAGCAGUAGAUAACUGGAACAGCUGGUAAUUCUUACUAUGUUAAGAUAAAAGUUUAGUUCUUUUUCACAGAGAAGAAGUCCAGACAUAGGCAGUCCAGGACAAGUUUGGUCACUUUGUAGUCAGCAAGAACGCAGAUUCCUUUAUCUUCCCUGCUGCCUGGAAUGUGGACAUGAUGGGUGGGGCUCCAGCAGCAAUAUUGGACCAGAUGGUAAUCUUGAGGAUGACAGAAGAGAGCAGAAAGGAGCUUUGGUCUCUGAUAAUAGAGAAAUAACUCUCUCUCUUGUUUAAGCCACUGUAAUUUUAGAUCUUCAGGUUAUACGGCAAAAGCAUUGCUAAUAGGCACAGAAUUGGAAUUCAUGGGUUUAGAACCAGGAGAUUGGCUUGGCUAAAGCUAAAAGGUUAAGAAUUUUCAAAUUAGAAGCAGUAGUUGAAGUCCUGGGUAUAAAUGAGGUUGCUUAAGGAGAGUACAGAGUGAGAAGAGGAAAGAGCUAAGGAGCCUCGAGGAAUGGCAGCAGUUAAAAGAGAGGCCAGAGGAGGGGCUCCCACCUUUCCAGGGGAAGAAACCCGAGACAGAAGGUGUUCAGUGAACACGACUUCUUCCCCUCUGUGGCUGGGUUGGGAGCCCUUCCUAUGCCUCUUCUGGACACAGCUAACAUGCAGCUUUCUCUUCAUAUCACAAGGGCUCUGUUUUACAUGAGGGCCUCCCACAUGGGACCAGAAGGAACCUCCUUAAAGUUUGGAAUCAAUUGUUAAUUCUUCUUGUGGCCCCAGUGCCUACAACAGUGACUGGCAUGUAAUGGGCAGGCAGUAGUUAUUUGCAAGCUGAACUGAAUUGAACUGCUUUUGGCAAGGAAGUCCUGGGAAGGGAAGGUUUCCAGAAGGAGGGAGUGGUCUGCGGUGCAAACACUGAGAACAAUCAAGUCAGAUAAGGCCUUUACAAGACUGGUGGGUUUGGCUCAGUGCAUCUGGCAAUGAGGAGGCCAUUGGUGACCUUGAGGAGAAGUGUUUUCGUGGGGAGGCAGCGGGGACAGGGUAACUGGUGUGUGGGAGCGGGUGGGGUGCUGGUUGCUCUUUUGGGAAGAAAGGGUGGAGACAAGGAGGGACGGGUUUCAUUCAUUUUGUCAAUUUCAUCAUCUUCAUCAUAGGCAGAGAGCAGGGAACUGGGAAGGGAGCCUCCCCUGACUUCUGCAGGAUACCAUGUGCUUGCCCUGUCAGAGUUGAUGACACUUUUGUCAUUUCCUUAGCCAACUCACCAUUUAACUUCUCAUGUAUGCAUAACAAUCUUUUCAUGGUUUUCUCCCGAACCAAAAUGUAAGUUCCUGGAAAGCAGAGACUGUUUACAGCUUGCUGUGCACAAAGUAGGUGUUUCGUUGGUGUUAACUGCCUCUGUUUCCUCUCAAG
rnacentral:lncRNA from 1 species